CGUGUCGUGAGAUGUUGGGUUAAGUCCCGCAACGAGCGCAACCCUCGUCCUAUGUUGCCAGCAAUUCGGUUGGGGACUCAUAGGAGACUGCCGGGGUCAACUCGGAGGAAGGUGGGGAUGACGUCAAGUCAUCAUGCCCCUUAUGUCCAGGGCUUCACGCAUGCUACAAUGGCCGGUACAAAGGGCUGCGAUCCCGUGAGGGUGAGCGAAUCCCAAAAAGCCGGUCUCAGUUCGGAUUGGGGUCUGCAACUCGACCCCAUGAAGUCGGAGUCGCUAGUAAUCGCAGAUCAGCAACGCUGCGGUGAAUACGUUCCCGGGCCUU
rnacentral:rRNA from 1 species